rnacentral:rRNA from 1 species
AUUGAACGCUGGCGGCAUGCCUUACACAUGCAAGUCGAACGGCAGCACGGGUGCUUGCACCUGGUGGCGAAUGGCGAACGGGUGAGUAAUACAUCGGAACGUACCUUAGCGUGGGGGAUAACGCAGCGAAAGCUGUGCUAAUAACGCAUACGCCCUGAGGGGGAAAGCGGGGGAUGGCAAGACCUCGCGCGAUUAGAGCGGCCGAUGCCUGAUUAGCUUGUUGGUGGGGUAAAAGCCCACCAAGGCGACGAUCAGUAGCUGGUCUGAGAGGACGAUCAGCCACACUGGGACUGAGACACGGCCCAGACUCCUACGGGAGGCAGCAGUGGGGAAUUUUGGACAAUGGGGGCAACCCUGAUCCAGCAAUGCCGCGUGAGUGAAGAAGGCCUUCGGGUUGUAAAGCUCUUUUGUCAGGGAAGAAACACCGGCUCUAACACAGUCCGGGAAUGACGGUACCUGAAGAAUAAGCACCGGCUAACUACGUGCCAGCCGCCGCGGUAA